AUUGAACGCUGGCGGCAUGCCUUACACAUGCAAGUCGAACGGCAGCACGGGAGCAAUCCUGGUGGCGAGUGGCGAACGGGUGAGUAAUAUAUCGGAACGUGCCCAGUCGUGGGGAUAACGUAGCGAAAGCUACGCUAAUACCGCAUACGAUCUAUGGAUGAAAGCGGGGGGAUCGCAAGACCUCGCGCGAUUGGAGCGGCCGAUAUCAGAUUAGGUAGUUGGUGAGGUAAAGGCUCACCAAGCCGACGAUCUGUAGCUGGUCUGAGAGGACGACCAGCCACACUGGGACUGAGACACGGCCCAGACUCCUACGGGAGGCAGCAGUGGGGAAUUUUGGACAAUGGGCGCAAGCCUGAUCCAGCAAUGCCGCGUGCAGGAUGAAGGCCUCGGUUGGUAAC
rnacentral:rRNA from 1 species